AUUGAACGCUGGCGGCAUGCCUUACACAUGCAAGUCGAACGGUAACAGGUUAAGCUGACGAGUGGCGAACGGGUGAGUAAUGUAUCGGAACGUGCCCAGUCGUGGGGGAUAACUACUCGAAAGAGUGGCUAAUACCGCAUACGACCUGAGGGUGAAAGCGGGGGACCGUAAGGCCUCGCGCGAUUGGAGCGGCCGAUAUCAGAUUAGCUAGUUGGUGGGGUAAAAGCCCACCAAGGCGACGAUCUGUAGCUGGUCUGAGAGGACGACCAGCCACACUGGGACUGAGACACGGCCCAGACUCCUACGGGAGGCAGCAGUGGGGAAGUUUGGACAAUGGGGGCAACCCUGAUCCAGCCAUUCCGCGUGAGUGAAGAAGGCCUUCGGGUUGUAAAGCUCUUUCGGCAGGAACGAAACGGCGAGCUCUAACAUAGCUCGCUAAUGACGGUACCUGAAGAAGAAGCACCGGCUAACUACGUGCCAGCCUCCGCCGUAAAAC
rnacentral:rRNA from 1 species